rnacentral:rRNA from 1 species
UACGUAGGGUGCAAGCGUUAAUCGGAAUUACUGGGCGUAAAGCGUGCGCAGGCGGUUAUAUAAGACAGAUGUGAAAUCCCCGGGCUCAACCUGGGAACUACAUUUGUGACUGUAUAGCUAGAGUACGGCAGAGGGGGAUGGAAUUCCGCGUGUAGCAGUGAAAUGCGUAGAUAUGCGGAGGAACACCGAUGGCGAAGGCAAUCCCCUGGGCCUGUACUGACGCUCAUGCACGAAAGCGUGGGGAGCAAACAGG